ACCCCACGGUAUCAAGUACAGUAUAUCAAAUACCCAGUAACGUGCUAUAAACAUGUAUCAUGCAGUUCGUCGUCAAACGCUAUGUACGUGGAGAGCGGGCGCGCCGGUGCUUGCGUAAAGCGCCUUGGACCAGGCUGACAUUUCCUCCACAGCCUCUUACCUGGCCUUCACAGGCUGCGAUCUUUUGUUUUUUGAAAUGCAGUAAUCAAGAUACAACAUUGAAACUCCCUUUGACGAUGUCUCUGAUUCCUGACCUGAGGUCAGAUGGGGUUCAAUGAGGUCGGGUGCUUGCAGGUUAAGUACCAAGUGUAGUAUAAAGCAGGGCAUGUUUUCUUCUUGAAGAUGAUAAGCAGUGAUGUCCUGCAAAUUUCACUGAGCUGACUGUGAUACCUGACCAGGACAAUAUGGGGUUAUGCAAACGAUUUGCUUUUUCUUGUGGAGAGGUGAAUUCAACCGAACCUGAUUGGAUGAGUUCUGGAGGAUACAGAGAGUGGUAACUACAACCAGGCCUGCAGUUUGGAUGAGUAUUGUUUGAGGGUACAGGGAAUGCUUUCUCUUGUGGCGAGGUGGAUACAACCGGGCCUGUUUCGAUGAGCUUGGAGGAUACAGACAACUGGACCUGCAACCAGUUCAGCUGCCUUGUGUGGAGUGGUGAAUACAAGGGGAUCUGUUUGGAUGAGCACUGGUCUUUCUCUACGGUUGGAGGGGACAGAGAGUGGUGAAUGCAACCGGACCUGGACUGGAAAGAUGAAAAUGGAGAUGACAUGCACCAAAUGCUGAGGCUGAACAACGUUUUUCGGACUGUGUGCCACCAAUUCAAGAACUGUAUCAAGUUUAGUCAGAUGACUUUCGGCUACAAGCUCAACCAUUCAAGUGGUCGACAUGAAAUUCCAAGUACAGUUUUAUUUGUAUGAUCGGUGAUCGUCAGAGUAGCUAGGAAUAUAACUCUAAAGAAGUUACAGCUUUUAUAAACAGUAACAAUCGGACAAUCAAUUCAGGCUGUCAAAUCAGCCUGCACUUAAAUAAUGAAAUUCUGAAUUUAAGAAGCAUUGACUUUUAACAAGAUUGCCAUCAGUUACUGUUUUGUGAGUUCUGCGAGACUUUAUCGAUCUGUGUGAGUUCUACUCUUCCUCUGUGCGAGUACGACUCUUCAUCUGUGUGAGUUCUACCCUUCAUCUGUGUGAGUUCUACAUUUCAUCUGUCCGAGUUCAACUUUUCAUCUGUGCGAGUUCUACUCUUAAUCUGUGCGAGUUCUACUCUUAAUCUGUGCGAGUUCUACUCUUAAUCUAUGCGAGUUCUACUCUUGAUCUGUGCGAGUUCUACUCUUGAUCUGUGCGAGUUCUACUCUUGAUCUGUACGAGUUCUACUCUUAAUCUGUGCGAGUUCUACUCUUAAUCUGUGCGAGUUCUACUCUUAAUCUGUGCUAGUUCUACUCUUGAUCUGAGCGAGUUCUACUCUUGAUCUGUGCGAGUUCUACUCUUGAUCUGUACGAGUUCUACUCUUAAUCUGUACGAGUUCUACUCUUAAUCUGUGCGAGUUCUACUCUUGAUCUGUGCGAGUUCUACUCUUGAUCUGUGCGAGUUCUACUCUUGAUCUGUGCGAGUUCUACUCUUGAUCUGUGCGAGUUCUACUCUUGAUCUGUGCGAGUUCUACUCUUGAUCUGUGCUAGUUCUACUCUUGAUCUGUGCUAGUUCUACUCUUCAUCCGUGCGAGUUCUACUCUUCAUCCGUGCGAGUUCUACUCUUCAUCCGUGCGAGUUCUACUCUUCAUCCGUGCGAGUUCUACUCAUCAUUCGUGCGAGUUCUACUCUUCAUCCGUGCGAGUUCUACUCUUCAUCCGUGCAAGUUCUACACUUCAUCUUUGCGAGUUCUACGCUUCAUCUUUGCAAGUUCUACGCUUCAUCUUUGCGAGUUCUACUUUUCAUCUUUGCAAGUUCUACUCUAUCUAUGCAGUGUACACUAACUGUGCAGCUCUACACUACAUCAUGCAGAACUUGUACACUGUCACAUCUAAGAAGUUCUACAUCUGUGCUUGUUAUGCACUUCUGUGUGCGUUGUAAAUCUUUUAAGAUUAAAAUCUUCGCGAGUUGUACACUUUGUCUGUUUGAGUAUUGCCAGAUGCUGAGGAGCAUGGCAGAGGGUAAUGUGCUAGUAACCUCUUCCCUCUACACUUGUAA